rnacentral:rRNA from 1 species
UUAUCGGUCUUGGAUGGACUCGCGGCCUAUCAGCUUGUUGGUGAGGUAAUGGCUCACCAAGGCGACGACGGGUAGCCGGCCUGAGAGGGUGACCGGCCACACUGGGACUGAGACACGGCCCAGACUCCUACGGGAGGCAGCAGUGGGGAAUAUUGCACAAUGGGCGGAAGCCUGAUGCAGCGACGCCGCGUGAGGGAUGACGGCCUUCGGGUUGUAAACCUCUUUCAGUAGGGAAGAAGCGAAAGUGACGGUACCUGCAGAAGAAGCACCGGCUAACUACGUGCCAGCAGCCGCGGUAAUACGUAGGGUGCGAGCGUUAUCCGGAAUUAUUGGGCGUAAAGAGCUCGUAGGCGGUUUGUCGCGUCUGUCGUGAAAGUCCGGGGCUUAACCCCGGAUCUGCGGUGGGUACGGGCAGACUAGAGUGCAGUAGGGGAGACUGGAAUUCCUGGUGUAGCGGUGGAAUGCGCAGAUAUCAGGAGGAACACCGAUGGCGAAGGCAGGUCUCUGGGCUGUAACUGACGCUGAGGAGCGAAAGCAUGGGGAGCGAACAGGAUUAGAUACCCUGGUAGUCCAUGCCGUAAACGUU